AGUAACGCGUGAGGAACCUGCCUUCCAGAGGGGGACGAACAGUUGGAAACGACUGCUAAUACCGCAUGAUACGUUGGAGCCGCAUGACUCCGACGUCAAAGAUUUAUCGCUGGAAGAUGGCCUCGCGUCUGAUUAGCUAGUUGGUGAGGUAACGGCCCACCAAGGCGACGAUCAGUAGCCGGACUGAGAGGUUGGCCGGCCACAUUGGGACUGAGAUACGGCCCAGACUCCUACGGGAGGCAGCAG
rnacentral:rRNA from 1 species